rnacentral:rRNA from 1 species
ACGAACGCUGGCGGCGUGCUUAACCCAUGCAAGUCGAACGGAAAGGCCCUGCUUUUGUGGGGUGCUCGAGUGGCGAACGGGUGAGUAACACGUGAGUAACCUGCCCUUGACUUUGGGAUAACUUCAGGAAACUGGGGCUAAUACCGGAUAGGAGCUCCUGCUGCAUGGUGGGGGUUGGAAAGUUUCGGCGGUUGGGGAUGGACUCGCGGCUUAUCAGCUUGUUGGUGGGGUAGUGGCUUACCAAGGCUUUGACGGGUAGCCGGCCUGAGAGGGUGACCGGCCACAUUGGGACUGAGAUACGGCCCAGACUCCUACGGGAGGCAGCAGUGGGGAAUAUUGCACAAUGGGCGGAAGCCUGAUGCAGCAACGCCGCGUGCGGGAUGAAGGCCUUCGGGUUGUAAACCGCUUUCGCCUGUGACGAAGCGUGAGUGACGGUAAUGGGUAAAGAAGCACCGGCUAACUACGUG